CUCCAUCUCCUCCACUCUGCCUCCACCUUUCCCCCGCAUUCGAUUUAUCCAUGCACGAGUGCCGGUUAGGCGGUUAACACCAGUCGUGUGCACCGAAUCAUCCCAAGAAGCCAUCGCGAGCUGUGUGCUGCAGGACAUAGCCAUGGGCAAAUCGGCAAGAAUCCUUGAAAUGAUUGAUUCCUCAAUCGAGGCGUACGCUCUGUCAAGUGGAUUUGAGCAAAGACUAUGUUGCUUCGUCCUCAUAUCUCCUAGACUGUUUGAAGGCCCACGGCAGUACCUCUGCUCCUGUACAGGAGCUAUAGCUGCCUCUCAACUUCAUGGCUUCAAUUCUGCUAAUACACCUUUGUCAUGGAUAUUGCCGGCCAGCACCGCUGAUCCAUACUCAAACUCAACUACUCUUCAGUCGCUCAGUCUCCCCUACCUUCAAUGGCGCUUCCUCUCCCUGAUCCGAGGCACCCUGAGGUUUAAAUUUCUAAAUCAGAUUCGAAAGCUAAUGUUCUAUGAUCUUCAUUCGUGAGCAGAGUGAAAGAGAUGUGUAUAUAUCAAUUGCCGGCAAGACAUUGUAAGGAGAGGACAUCAGUUUAGGUUAACUGGGUCAGACUUUUGGUUUGGCGUUAAAGCAUGGCAGUAAGAAGAGCUUGCUAGGAUUUAGGUUGAUGGUAUGGAGAGGCUGGGGAUUUCUCCCAUUUCGAAAAAAAAAUAGCACAUAUGCACAUCUUCACCUUCUUUAUUGGUAAAAAUAAUAUGCUUAUUCUGCCAAUGAUUUUACUAUUUUUCUCCGUACCCCCUUUUGUUCCUAUGUGGUGUUAAUCUCUGCUCUGUACGAACUCAAUUUCUUCAUCUUCCAUCUUUACUAGCAGGCUUAUUAUGCUGCAGUCUAGCAACUACUAAUUUCCAUGUAACUUCCGUUGUUAGCUUAGAACAAGAGGCAAAUCUGUUUCAUAUAUUAAAAAAAAAUCCUUCAAAUGAGCAUGAAUGGAUCGGUCAUAAUUGUGAGAAUACGGUGAGAUGGUACCCUCCUUCUUGAUUUGUAAUUAGAAGUUUCUGUACUUUUGACAUUUUUUAAUACAGAUAACAUUUUCAUACAUACUAUCAUUGUUCAUACAUGUCACACUUUCUGCAAUGUAUUUUCAUAUGUAUUUCCAUCUAUAUAUACUGCUGUCUUUUGUCACAAGUUCAAGCAAUCAGAGUGAAGCUUCCAUCAAUAAUAGGUUGGGUGAUUGGGACGUCAUUAUGUCUUCUAACCUAUACCGUUACGAAUUCGUGCAAUCCUAUUUGGUUCCAUUUUACGACAUCUAUCACCUGCCAUAUUUGUUUCAGAGUAAGGAAACGGUUUGGCAGAAGUAGUA